AGGACGAACGCUGGCGGCGUGCCUAACACAUGCAAGUCGAACGGACGAGAGGAGCUUGCUCCUCAAGUUAGUGGCGGACGGGUGAGUAACACGUGAGCAACCUGCCCUUCGGAGGGGGACAACAGCUGGAAAACGGCUGCUAAUACCGCAUGAUACAGUCUGGAGGCAUCUCCGGACUGUCAAAGAUUUUAUCGCCGAAGGAUGGGCUCGCGUCUGAUUAGAUAGUUGGUGGGGUAACGGCUCACCAAGUCGACGAUCAGUAGCCGGACUGAGAGGUUGAACGGCCACAUUGGGACUGAGAUACGGCCCAGACUCCUACGGGAGGCAGCAGUGGGGAAUAUUGGGGCAAGUGGGGGCAACCCUGACCCAGCAACGCCGCGUGGAGGAAGAAGGCUUUCGGGUUGUAAACUCCUUUGACGAGGGACGAUAGUGACGGUACCUCGAAAACAAGCCACGGCUAACUACGUGCCAGCCGCCGC
rnacentral:rRNA from 1 species